UGGGAGCAAUAUUGAUACAUCACAUGUCUUGUAACCAUGACAAUGUGAUCACGGAUUCUCCCUACAAUAACAUUGCUCUCUGAUGACUACAAGAUUAGAAGCACAUCUUGUGGACAGAUACGGGGCAGACAUCG